UUGUGUGUGAGGAGCAAAUUUCAAGAAGCGCUUAGGGUGGAAACACGGCAACACUCCUGGGCGCUUUUUGAU
rnacentral:sRNA from 1 species